CAUGAGUUAGAGUGUAGAGAGGAAGUGGGGCGGCUGGCGGAUUGGUUUGAGAAGAACAACCCAAGCCUGAACAUGGAGACGACAAAGGACAUCAUUGUCGACUUCAGGAAGGUGCAGAUGAACAACCCCCCUCUGGUUAUCAGAAGAGAACCAUGCUGCCAAAUAUUCUCAUGCCUUCCUCAUGUUUGGCUGCUCCAGAACCUCUGCGGUGUCCCCGUUAAAGUGGACUUACAGGUCUUCACGUACCAAGAUCAGCGGCAGUGGAUCCUGUCUCCGUACCGCCAGCUUGUGUUCCCGUCGAUGCUGGAAAUCUUGAGUAACGCAUAGAAAAUUCUGGAGGAACUCGACAAGUCAGUCUGCAUGCCACGAACUUAUCAAUCACUCCUCAUAUAGUACAGCCUGGUUCCCAUUCUCAUCAUUAAGAUAGGAUCAGGAUUAAGUUGAGAUCCUCACUACCAGUUCUCUACGCAGAUGGUGAGGUGACAGAGGAGACACAAGAGACUGCAGAUGUUGGGAUCCUGCACAAAGAACAAACUGCUGGAAGAACUCAACGGGUCAGUCAAGAUCUAUGGAAGCAAAGGGAGAACAACAUUUUAUGGAGACCCUAAAUCAAGACUGGGGAGAUGACUGUUAUCCCUGAAGACCUCAAAUGCACUGUGAACUGUACGGAUGUCCUUACUCAAAAUCCAACUCAAGCCAAUUAACAAGUGAAGGGAAAAGGGAUCUCUUCUUGGACUUCCAGACGGUACAGAUUCCCAGCACUGGUAGUUAUGGGCUACAAGUAAAGAAAAGGACCCAUGUGAUCAAUCCACAAUGAGUACAUACGUCGAGCUGCCCUGACGUUCUGUAAGGCGGAAUGCAGACCACACGAAUAUUUAAUCUCAACCAUAUCAUGGGACGGACCAAGACAGGAAUUCUCUCCGGUGAUCCAGCCAGAGACCAGACUGUAGAAGAAAGAAUGUGUCCACUUGCCCCCAGUGGCAACAAGCAGUAGAUCCAGCGUUCAUACCUACUCCACUUCUACACAAGGAUUUAGGAAAGCUUCUGUCAGCCACCACUGGAAUGGGAUCGAGUACUCUCAACUGGGAUUCUCACCGUCUUACCGCAGCGGCACAGAGACACAGCUAAAAAGUUUGCUACGUCCUAGCACCAGAGACCUGGGUUUCCUCUCCUCCAAGUGCUCUGCUUCUCUGCCACACCCCAGUCAUAUGGGUUGGUUAAUCGCCUAAAUUGCCUCUAGUGUAAACCAGUGGGUAAAAUCUGUGGGGCCGGAGGGGGGAGUUAGUAGGGAUGUGAGAACAGAAUCUGAGUAAUUAGGUAGCUGAUGUGGUUUGGAAGUAUCGCUUUCUAAAGCACAGCAGGGAUAAUUGAGUGGGUGGGUAUGAAGGUCAAAGUCAAAUAAAUAAGAAUGCUUCUUUUAAUUCUAGCUUAUAAGUUUAAACUGAAAAGGCAGCAAGAGUUAAAGAGUUAAGAAAAUAAAAGGGUUAAGAAACCAGU